rnacentral:rRNA from 1 species
UGGGGAAUAUUGCACAAUGGGCGCAAGCCUGAUGCAGCCAUGCCGCGUGUAUGAAGAAGGCCUUCGGGUUGUAAAGUACUUUCAGCGAGGAGGAAGGCGUUGUGGUUAAUAACCGCAACGAUUGACGUUACUCGCAGAAGCAGCACCGGCUAACUCCGUGCCAGCAGCCGCGGUAAUACGGCGGGUGCAAGCGUUAAUCGGAAUUACUGGGCGUAAAGCGCACGCAGGCGGUCUGUCAAGUCGGAUGUGAAAUCCCCGGGCUCAACCUGUGAACUGCAUCCGAAACUGGCAGGCUAGAGUCUUGUAGAGGGGGGUAGAAUUCCAGGUGUAGCGGUGAAAUGCGUAGAGAUCUGGAGGAAUACCGGUGGCGAAGGCGGCCCCCUGGACAAAGACUGACGCUCAGGUGCGAAAGCGUGGGGAGCAAACA